GACGAACGCUGGCGGCGUGCUUAACACAUGCAAGUCGAACGGAAAGGCCCUGCUUUUGUGGGGUGCUCGAGUGGCGAACGGGUGAGUAACACGUGAGUAACCUGCCCUUGACUUUGGGAUAACUUCAGGAAACUGGGGCUAAUACCGGAUAGGAGCUCCUGCUGCAUGGUGGGGGUUGGCAAGUUUAGGCGGUUGGGGAUGGACUCGCGGCUUAUCAGCUUGUUGGUGGGGUAGUGGCUUACCAAGGCAUCGACGGGUAGCCGGCCUGAGAGGGUGACCGGCCACAUUGGGACUGGAAUGCGGCCCAGACUCCUACGGGACGCAGGGGUGGGGAAGAGAGUACUAUGGGCGGAAGCGUGAUGCAGCAACGCCGCGUGCGGGAUGACGGCCUUCGGGUUGUAAUCCGCUUUCGCCUGUGACGAAGCGUGAGUGACGGUAAUUGAUAAAGAAGCACCGGCUAACUACGUG
rnacentral:rRNA from 1 species